rnacentral:lncRNA from 10 species
GGCCGCUCGCUCGAGAUUGCGCGCUUUUUUAAUUUUAGGUUCUUCCAUUGGCUUAAAAAGGGGAUACUAGAAGAUUCGCUUUCUAACCUUCCCGUCUGUAAAGAUGCCGAAAAAGAUGAAGCUGACAUCAGUAUCAGAAUUCACUGACUCAGGGAAAGGGAGAAAUCUGGUCGAAACUAUAAAUAACAAAGGAAAGUAUGACAAAAGCUUCUUUCUUUCCCUUGGCAUUAGAGAUGUUAAUCACUUGCCUUAUUUUAUGUCAUUCAACAGAACAUUUUCAAAUACUAUUAUGGUGCCAAUCAAGUUGAGGCAUCAUUUUCAGACCAGUCAGAAUUUAAAAGAAAGGGAAUUUAAUACUUUCAACAUAGAGAUGAUAUGCUUUAUAAAAGCCAAAGCUUUUGUAUUACCAUUUUCAAAGUAAAAAUGAAAAACCUACUGAAGCAUCUUACACAUGAAAUUAUUAUAUUUCAUUGAUAGGAGAAGGACAUGCAAUAGCUAAAAGACUAAUGAAUGCCUGCUAGCUGAUAAUCAGUAAAAGAACUCAUGGGAGUGCUACUUUCCAAAGAUGCAAUAACUCACCAAAUUAGACAUUUAGUUGCAGGCCAGGCGAGGUGGCUCAUGCCUGUAAUCCCUGAAUUUUGGGAGGCCAAGGCAGGCGGAUAACUUGAGAUCAGGAGUUUGAGACCAACCUGGCCAAUAUGGUGAAACCCUGUCUCUACUAAAAAUACAAAAAAAAAAAAUUAGCUGGGCAUGGUGGUACAUGCCUGUAAUCCCAGUUAUUCGG